rnacentral:tRNA from 1 species
CGGGAUGUAGCUCAGUUUGGCUAGAGCGCUGCGUUCGGGACGCAGAGGCCGCACGUUCAAGUCGUGUCAUCCCGA